CCCCCUCCUGAGCAGGAGUCUGGUAUCUUUGGAAUCAUGGCCUUUGCCCUCUCCUCCCAGGGAGUGUGCGGCUGAUUCAUCACACCCACUGAGGGCGAUGGUGGGCACGGACAAGGGCUGGGAGCAUUGGUGACAGAGGGCUGGGAACUUGUGAAAGGGAGACUGGCUGCUGUAUUACCCAGCACAGGAAGAUGUCUGAACCACAGUGCUUCAUGCUGUCCACCCAGGAAGGUGGUGCCAGCCUCCUACAGCCUGCCCCGGGACCUUAGCACCACACCAUGCUGGACUGGCUGGACGCCCGGGAAAGCCUUGACCAUGCCCUGUGAGGUGCCCCACAGCCCCUCUGCUUUCAUCUAGGGGCCCCCUUGAGUCACAGGCAUUGGGUCACCUACAGUACACCAGGAAAUGGCAGAUGCAGACAGAGCUGGCCAGGGGUCAGGCAGCCCCCACUCCAUGUGACCCAGGCAUGCCGCAGCCCCGCUCUGGGCCGCCCUGUUCUGUCUGUACGAUGGGUGGCAGCCACCAGCCUGCACACCGCACAUGACCUUCUACAGAUCAAAUGAGGCAAUAAAUAGGAACCUGCUGAUGGUGCCAGCAUCGGGGGCUAGUCCUGGAUUAGUGUGAAGUUGGGUGAUUCCAUGCCUGCCUCUGCUGACUCCUCCUCCAAGUCUCCCCCGAGCACAGAGCGGGUCCUCCACAAGCCCAGUCCCACGUGGCUGCAACCUGCAACAGGUGAGUUUCCCUCCAGCGACAACUUGCAGCUCCUGGAGAGAACUCCUGCCCUAGUGUCAGCUGAUCCCACAGCCCCCCUGGAGGCCGCGGGCCAAGAGGACGGUGGCAGCCUGGCAGAGGAGGAUCUUUCCUAAGUACCUUCCUAUGGUUCUGAAUUGACACCGUGAAGCUCGGCCAUCCUCACUGCAGGCUGUUUCCUUAUCAGGAGAGGAAGAGUGUAAAUGAAAGGGUAGAUUUCUUUCUCUUUUUCUUUUUUUUUUUUUUUCUGCAAAAGCUUAGGCCUGAGACAAAGGAAGCUCUGUGCACCUCGAGACUUGGCCCUUCCUACAUGACGCUCCCAGGGAAGUCGCAAGAUUAAAAAUUAAUAAUAAAAACAGCAGACAUCACCCAAUGACUGGAGGCUGAGGAGGAGUCCAAGGAGCCUAGAGUCAGAGCAGGUGGGCACCUUAGAUUCAUCCUCCUGCACCCCCACUUUGCAGAUGGGCAGGCUGAGGUCUAGAAACCAAGGUUACAUAUAAGGCAAGCAGCCUUAGGUCCCUGACUCCCAGGCAGAGUUAUUCCUUUUAGGCCUCGACGUGUUGUUUUGUCUGUGAUGCUGCGCAUGGAACCCCGGGGCCUCUUGCAUGCUACACAUGUGCUGUGCUGUACCCAGGCCCACCCUUCCACUCUUGACAGUGAGCAGACCCCAUGAUGAGGAGGGACACAGGACAGAGACGGAGGAAAAGGCAUGGCAGAGAGGGCAGCUGUCUCAGGGAGAGGGCAGGUGAAGGUACAAAGGAAGGAGGCCUCUCUUGGCUCCCCCUCUUACCCCUGGCUCCAGGGGGGUUUGCAGGAACUUUGCAGAGUCAGAGGGUCAGUUCCAAGACAGGUCAGUCCUCUUCCAGAUCCUUCAAUAGUUGCCUAUGGGAGGAGCAGAGCAGCCUGGGCCCUGACCACAGAGAGCCAGGUCAUGUGAGGGGCCUCCAAGAAGCACAUUCCAGGCCCUACUGUCAGCAGGUCAGACCCUGAGAGACCAUCUGGCUCCCUCAACCCUCAAGUUUGCUUUCAAGGGAAAGGGGACUGAACAUGGGGAAGGAAACGGCCAAGCUCAUCUGACUAGCCGGCAGAGCACAACCUGGACCACAGAGGUUCCUCAGCUCCCAGCCAGGGCUCUUCCCUUACUGCAUCCGUCCCCCUGUGCCAGAGGCCAAAGUUUGGAAUGGACAGGGGCAAAGGCUGGCUCACAGAGGCAGCAGUAGCAGCAGCCCUCCCAGAUCCGCCAGGCUGUAUCCAGGCACUGACCUCUCAGCUGCCCUCUGGGAGGUGGGGGUCAUGAGCAAGCAAAUGCCCAGGCCUGGGCCUUGGUGCAGAGCAGGUUCAGGGCGUUGUCCUUGGGUGGGACAGAGCAAGGCAAGCCUCUUAUUGUGCCUGGCUCUGCAAUCUGAGGACCCCCUGUGUCCAGGUCAGCUGGGGAGCACAUGAAACAUGCAGGUUCUUGUCCCAGCCUUGCCCCCAACCCAGUGAAAAAGCGUAUGUCCCCAUGGAGGGGGGCCAUCCUCACCACUGCACUCACCAGGGAAAGAAGAUUGCACGAAGAACUUUCCAUGUCCCAGGAUGUCAGCAGAGCGGCCAUGGCCCAUUCGCAGGCUCUGCUAAUUGGCACCACUGUUCUGCUUCAGCUUAAGCCUGAAAGAGGUCACCCUCCUGGUGCCACCCACAGGAGUCCAAUAAAGAAAGAGCUCCAUGGCCCAGGGCCAGCCCGCCUGGCUCCAACCCGGGGAAGGCCCCGAGCCUGGAUUCAGGACAACUAGGGUGACCAAGAGCCUGGAACAGAAAGGCUCCCUGAACGUGGGACUUGAAGCACUGAAAGCAGGAGGAGCUGGUCGCCCGAGACAGCCUGGGAUACCUGGGUGUGCCUCCUCUGGGGGGGGCUCCUGGAAGUCAUGGAAGCCCACCCCGCAGAGCCCCCAAACACUCAGAGCCAGAGCAGGGAGUCCCUGGAGUCGGGCGGGGACCUGCCCCUCAGCAUCAUCCAUUGUUAGCGUGUGUCAGAGCUCUGUUCCUCUUGGUGGCCGGUGGGCGACAGGCCACAUCUUGUUUGUCCACUCAUCUGUUGAUGGACACUCGACGGGUUCUGCCUUUGCCUACUGUGACUGGUGCCACUCUGAACAGUUCACAAGUUGGAGAGUCCCUGCUCGCACUCGAUCACCUGCUCACGUGGUCUGCGUCCAGCUAUUCAGGAGCCGCCCUGCUCCCCACGGUAGCUGCACGUUUUCCUUCCUUCCAGUGAAGCUCCACAGCUCCGGUCCUCCACAUUCCUGCCAACACCUGUCACUUUCCAACUCUGGAUACUUGGGCUGUUAUUGAUUAGACUCCCAAAUCUCCACAGCCACCUCUGGUGGAAUAUCCUUCUGGGAGAACUAAUGCACCCCACGUGGACCCCACACUGCCUAUGCAGAUUUCUAGUGCAGCACUUGAAGACCGAGGUCCAUUCAUGUCUUUUCUCAUCUCUGUGAGAUCAUCCCUCAAGACAGAAACCUGUCCCAUUGGCCAUCCCCUGGGACCCAGUAGAUGAAUCUCUGAGUGCCACGGUGAUUAGUGAUGUCUACACUGCUGGGGUGACAGCACCACACACAGUGGGGGUCUAGAGAACCAGUGGUGGAGGCUGUGUUGGGUCAGAAAGCUCUACAGCAGUGCUUUUACAAAAUAGCAGUAAUCAUGACAGGGCUGAGACCUGAAAUAGGUACCACAUAGAGAACCACGUGCAUGAUGGCAAUGCCCACAUUUUGCCAAAGAAGAUGUAUAAAUGGCUGUCCAGCACAUGGGGAGAUGUUCCGUAGCAUUAGUCAACAGAGAAAAUAGAAAUCAAGGCCAUUGUGAGGGCUGGGGAUGUAGCUCAGAGGUAGAGUGCUUGCCUUGCAUGCAUGAGGGCCUAGGUUAGAUCCCUAUUGUCACAAAAACAAACACCCACAGUGAGAAACGUUUCACCUUCAGUAGGCUACUGCCACAUGAGGACAGCCAGUUGCACCCUCUGUGAGGUCCGGCACUUCACAAAGACACCCAACCUGCUGUUGCUUCCGUCAGGAUUUCCUGGCCUCCAGAACCGUGAGCAAUACAUGUCUCUUCUCAUAAACCCCCUGCCUCAGGUAUUUUACCAUGGCAGCAGGAAUCGACUAAGGCACUGGGUGGAAGAAGCCAGAUACAAAGGCCACGUGUUGGGACUGGGGGUGAGGCUCCAUGAUGUGGCUCACCAGCCUAGCCUGCACAACGCCCUGAGUGGGAUGACUCCAUUAAUAUAGAGUGUCUAGAACAGGCAGAUCCAUAGAGCAGAAAGCAGGUUAGUGUCUGCACAGGGCAGGUGGAGGGCAGAAUGGGCACAGGCAUCCUUCCCAGGGAGAAGAAAGUGUUCUGAAGUCACCUGUGCUGGUGGUGGCCUGACAUCUGUGAAUCCACUGAUAGCCAAAGGGCUGUGACCUCAUGUCUGGCAUGUGUGCUACGUCCAACAAAGGUAGGCUGCAGGCUGGGCUCAGGUUUGUGGCCUGGCCACUACUGGCCAGUGACUUUCUCUAGAUCCCGGUUACCCUGGCCCUUCCCUUGACCUGGCCUGUCCCCUACCCCACUGCAGCUGGGGCUACAGCUGCCAUGUGCUGCCUGCUCCUGUCUCUGGGGUGAGCGCAGCACUCUGGGCUCUGUGCACUAGGGUGCCACCUCCCAGAGCGGCCUGCCGAGCCCACGCCCACCUAGUGUGUGUGUCUGACUUCCUCCUGUGUUUCUAACAGCCUUCCCCCGUGGUUUUGUUUCUUCACUGUUUGGGGCACACACAUGCACACGACGCCAAGAUGCAUUCAUCGGUCUCUAUUACAAAUAACGACCUUACAGUCCAGCUCAACUCUCUGAAGUUUUAUGACAAGGCCACAAACGGAGGGCCUCUGAAUUCCUCUGGCUUGCCUCUGGGCUUUGUCAUCCCACCGUGUUAUCCUGAGAAAUAUUCCCUAUUUCAGAAUCAUAUUAAUUGCAAGAUUUAAAAAUCAUAAGAGCUCACAUAAAAAUGCGGGCUUCUGGCUUCUCUUGACAGCUCUGAGACCGGGGACAAGGGUCCACGCUCCCACACGGCAGCCAACGCUGAAGCUGAGCAGCUCUGUCAACUGUGGCAUGCAGGAGCUGCCUGGUCGGCCUCCCUCCCCACGGUGUCCUAACGUCUGUCCCCAUCAGUGUUUCUGUAAACAACCCCGAUUUAAACUCAAUGUGGUCUCACAAUUGCUUCACUGGAGCCCAGCACCAUGGCAGCCACCUGUAGUCCAGUGGAUCCGGAGUUCAAAGCCAGCCUCAGCAACUUAGUGAGGCCCUAAGCAACUUCGCAAGACCCCGUCUCAAAGUGAAAAAUAAAAUGGGCUGAGGAUGCGGCUCAGUGGUUAAGCACCCCUGGGUUCAAUCCCUGGUACCAAAAAACAAACAAACAAAUGAUAAACAUAAAAAGGGCCGGGGCUGGAGCAGUAGUGUGGUACUCAUAAGCACACACCAGGUCCGCGGCUCAACAUCCAGGACUAAAGGGGGGAAUCGCUCCCCUGGCUUCCUGUGCUUGUAUUUUCUUCUACUAUUCAUUCAACAAUCUUUUAUUGUGUAUCUACCAUUCUCCAGGCUCUGAGUUGGCACCAGGGACCCAAAAAUGAGAAAGACUAGGCCCCUGGCCCCUUGGGCCUUCUGGUUUGCAACCAUCACCUUCCACCCUUCCGUACCUUGUCACAGGCCCACCGGCUGCAUGCAGGCCGACCUGUCCCCAUGCUUCCCCAGCACAUGGCAUGUAGCACUUGGAAGGACAAGGUCAGACUCCCAGAAGAGCAGGGACUUGGCACCCAAGGGUGGGGCAGGGGCCAGAGGACCAGAGCUGGGGAGGCCAACCCCAAGGUUGACCCACAGGAGCUGGGAAGGGUUGCAGUACAGAGUGCAGACAGCUCACCACUCACUCUCCCCCUGCUAGACUAAGACCGCCCACUGGGAAAGGCCAACGGGUGGACAGAUAGGCACAGAGGCAGGAAGGGGACACCAGGAGGGUUUUCUAGGCCCAGUGACAACGGGGAAGGAAGCAUCGAGGGAGAUCAGGGAAGAGGUAAGGAGUCUGGUGCCCUGAGCUGCAUCUUAGGCUGCAGAAGGUGGUGUGCAGAGCAAGGUCCCCUGGUUUCCAGGGUCAGCACUGUUCUCGGGAGGCUCCCUGUCUGAGGAGGGGAGCUCCCUGCUCCCUCAUCUGGGCUCCUCAGGCUCCCCUCCCACUUCCUGGCAAACUGUGAGGUGGGGGUGGGGCACCGUUGGCCCUGGGGUUCUCGGAGCCUUGCACCAUCCUUCUCUGCCACCAUCACUGCAGGAUCACUUUGAGUGUGUUUUUCUUGGGGCCAGGGCAUUUUGUCUUCUUUGGUCUUCUUGGGAGCCCAUUUCAAUACAUCUCUAAGAUCACCCUGGGAUCCAUUUUUGAGGUGCUUUUUGCUUUUUUUCCUGAUAUUUAUAUAUAUAUAUAUAUUUUUUUUUUUGCUUUUUUGUUGUUUUAUUAUUUAAUUUGUUGUUAGUUUUUGCUUUUAUUUUUGGAUCCAAUACUUACCAUUUGCAGUUUGUUGACUGCACACAGGUUGUUUUGUAUGCUCUAAGACUGUCCUUCCUUUAGAGGGAUUCAUCUCCACGUUCCCGAGUUUGUUUGAAGCAGGUUUUCUCAUUUCUACACAAGGUGUCUGCCAGUACUUUUNGUGGCUCACCAGCCUAGCCUGCACAACGCCCUGAGUGGGAUGACUCCAUUAAUAUAGAGUGUCUAGAACAGGCAGAUCCAUAGAGCAGAAAGCAGGUUAGUGUCUGCACAGGGCAGGUGGAGGGCAGAAUGGGCACAGGCAUCCUUCCCAGGGAGAAGAAAGUGUUCUGAAGUCACCUGUGCUGGUGGUGGCCUGACAUCUGUGAAUCCACUGAUAGCCAAAGGGCUGUGACCUCAUGUCUGGCAUGUGUGCUACGUCCAACAAAGGUAGGCUGCAGGCUGGGCUCAGGUUUGUGGCCUGGCCACUACUGGCCAGUGACUUUCUCUAGAUCCCGGUUACCCUGGCCCUUCCCUUGACCUGGCCUGUCCCCUACCCCACUGCAGCUGGGGCUACAGCUGCCAUGUGCUGCCUGCUCCUGUCUCUGGGGUGAGCGCAGCACUCUGGGCUCUGUGCACUAGGGUGCCACCUCCCAGAGCGGCCUGCCGAGCCCACGCCCACCUAGUGUGUGUGUCUGACUUCCUCCUGUGUUUCUAACAGCCUUCCCCCGUGGUUUUGUUUCUUCACUGUUUGGGGCACACACAUGCACACGACGCCAAGAUGCAUUCAUCGGUCUCUAUUACAAAUAACGACCUUACAGUCCAGCUCAACUCUCUGAAGUUUUAUGACAAGGCCACAAACGGAGGGCCUCUGAAUUCCUCUGGCUUGCCUCUGGGCUUUGUCAUCCCACCGUGUUAUCCUGAGAAAUAUUCCCUAUUUCAGAAUCAUAUUAAUUGCAAGAUUUAAAAAUCAUAAGAGCUCACAUAAAAAUGCGGGCUUCUGGCUUCUCUUGACAGCUCUGAGACCGGGGACAAGGGUCCACGCUCCCACACGGCAGCCAACGCUGAAGCUGAGCAGCUCUGUCAACUGUGGCAUGCAGGAGCUGCCUGGUCGGCCUCCCUCCCCACGGUGUCCUAACGUCUGUCCCCAUCAGUGUUUCUGUAAACAACCCCGAUUUAAACUCAAUGUGGUCUCACAAUUGCUUCACUGGAGCCCAGCACCAUGGCAGCCACCUGUAGUCCAGUGGAUCCGGAGUUCAAAGCCAGCCUCAGCAACUUAGUGAGGCCCUAAGCAACUUCGCAAGACCCCGUCUCAAAGUGAAAAAUAAAAUGGGCUGAGGAUGCGGCUCAGUGGUUAAGCACCCCUGGGUUCAAUCCCUGGUACCAAAAAACAAACAAACAAAUGAUAAACAUAAAAAGGGCCGGGGCUGGAGCAGUAGUGUGGUACUCAUAAGCACACACCAGGUCCGCGGCUCAACAUCCAGGACUAAAGGGGGGAAUCGCUCCCCUGGCUUCCUGUGCUUGUAUUUUCUUCUACUAUUCAUUCAACAAUCUUUUAUUGUGUAUCUACCAUUCUCCAGGCUCUGAGUUGGCACCAGGGACCCAAAAAUGAGAAAGACUAGGCCCCUGGCCCCUUGGGCCUUCUGGUUUGCAACCAUCACCUUCCACCCUUCCGUACCUUGUCACAGGCCCACCGGCUGCAUGCAGGCCGACCUGUCCCCAUGCUUCCCCAGCACAUGGCAUGUAGCACUUGGAAGGACAAGGUCAGACUCCCAGAAGAGCAGGGACUUGGCACCCAAGGGUGGGGCAGGGGCCAGAGGACCAGAGCUGGGGAGGCCAACCCCAAGGUUGACCCACAGGAGCUGGGAAGGGUUGCAGUACAGAGUGCAGACAGCUCACCACUCACUCUCCCCCUGCUAGACUAAGACCGCCCACUGGGAAAGGCCAACGGGUGGACAGAUAGGCACAGAGGCAGGAAGGGGACACCAGGAGGGUUUUCUAGGCCCAGUGACAACGGGGAAGGAAGCAUCGAGGGAGAUCAGGGAAGAGGUAAGGAGUCUGGUGCCCUGAGCUGCAUCUUAGGCUGCAGAAGGUGGUGUGCAGAGCAAGGUCCCCUGGUUUCCAGGGUCAGCACUGUUCUCGGGAGGCUCCCUGUCUGAGGAGGGGAGCUCCCUGCUCCCUCAUCUGGGCUCCUCAGGCUCCCCUCCCACUUCCUGGCAAACUGUGAGGUGGGGGUGGGGCACCGUUGGCCCUGGGGUUCUCGGAGCCUUGCACCAUCCUUCUCUGCCACCAUCACUGCAGGAUCACUUUGAGUGUGUUUUUCUUGGGGCCAGGGCAUUUUGUCUUCUUUGGUCUUCUUGGGAGCCCAUUUCAAUACAUCUCUAAGAUCACCCUGGGAUCCAUUUUUGAGGUGCUUUUUGCUUUUUUUCCUGAUAUUUAUAUAUAUAUAUAUAUUUUUUUUUUUGCUUUUUUGUUGUUUUAUUAUUUAAUUUGUUGUUAGUUUUUGCUUUUAUUUUUGGAUCCAAUACUUACCAUUUGCAGUUUGUUGACUGCACACAGGUUGUUUUGUAUGCUCUAAGACUGUCCUUCCUUUAGAGGGAUUCAUCUCCACGUUCCCGAGUUUGUUUGAAGCAGGUUUUCUCAUUUCUACACAAGGUGUCUGCCAGUACUUUUGGUCUUUCUUCUCUUCUAACAAUGCUGUGUACCAUGGACCCAUGAAGCUGUCCAUCUUUCUUCUAGCUGCAAGGACAGGAAGGAGGUACUUCCCUCCUGCCCUGAGGGGCCCUGAGUUCACCAAGUAGGAACACGCCUCUUUCCUAGUGAGGGGCUGGUGCAGGGCAGACAUCCUUCUCUGAGGACAGUAGAUUGGUCCAAUCCUAGGAUGCUUCCCAGGGAGCCAACAUGCUGGCAGGUGGUGAAGCAGGCAGGCUUUGAACCUGACAGUUCUGUUCCUUCCCAGUCCUAUGCCUGGCCCAGUCACCUAACCUUUAGGGACUAUUUCUUUACCUGGAAGUUAGUAAAACCUGAGGAUUACAUGAGCUAAUACUUAGCAGAGUAGCAGGCAUCCUGACUGUGCUCAACUGCAGAGGUCACAGAAGCAGAUCUGGGGAUCUCACAAACCUGAGCCACUGCUGGCCUUUGGAGCCCUGGGUAUGGCAUUACCCCAGCUCCCCAGGUGCAUGAGAAGCCCGAUUCCUGGCCCUACCUCACUGGCCCUUCCAGCUCAGAUCUGCCCUCAGGCAACUGCCCCAGGAGGAACACCUGCGCUCCACCCUGGACCCAGGCUUUCCCAGAUGCACAGGAUAAGUCAGGGUGGGCAGAACUAUUUCUGUGAAAGCAGCUCAGGUGGAACUGUCCUGCACACCAUUGAGGGCUGAAGGGAUGUCCCACAGAGUCCCCAGGCAGCAAGGCCUGCCUAGGGCACUGAUGGACGGCUGUCACCUUCUGCCCUCUCAUGUCAGAUAGUCCUGUGGCAGUGUGACCCCUGCCACCUGGGGUAGAGAGCCUGCAGUGCUCACCCAUCUAAUUCCCUUUUUGUAUAACUUGGGCAGGUCAAUUCAGUUUUGAAGAUCUCAGUUUUUCGGUCUGUAAAAAGGAAAAAAGCUACCCAUUUCCAGCGAAUUACUCUCCUCCCUUCACCUAACAGCAUAGGGACGUGCAUUCUGUAACCAUCAACUCACUCUCCAAAUGUGCGGGCCUCUCAGGGCCCAGGACAUUCCUUGCAGGCAGUGGGCUUUGACGGAAGGUGCUUGAAGACUCCUUCUGGAGGCAGAGGCAGAGGGCAGCAUGGCUGGCAGCCUUGGGCAGAGGUGAGUCAGGCCCCCACAGAAGUCUUCCAGUUUCUGAUGUCCAAUGGUCCUGCUGAAGGAGGCCUGGGAGCUCAGCAAGCAGUAUCGUUCUAGGACACAAGGGCAGGGCACCAGGAUGAGAGGGGAGAAGGAGGUCAGAGGCCACUGAAGGGACAGUGCUGGCUGCUGCUGCUGUUGGCCAGGGAGCCUCUAGUGUGGAUGACCCAAAGGGUGGGACACUAGUGAAUCUGAAGUGGUG
rnacentral:lncRNA from 1 species